AUAGUAUCUAACAUUCUUUAUGCAAAACGUUCAGGACUCCUGGCGUAACCUGGCAAAUGCUUUCGCAAAUGACAAAUCAUUGUUUUUGCUAAAUAGUGUUAGUCAGCGUUCAUUGGCUCAAACCCUUGUUCUUUCUGCUUAUGGAAUGCAAAGUUCAGACGCAUCAAACCAAUAUGUGAAGGACCUCAUGGCUCAUAUGACAUCAUC